rnacentral:misc_RNA from 1 species
UUGGAGAAUUCACCAUCAAUUGCCAGUGUGGAGAAAAACAUUGGCCCAUUGCCAUUGUAACAUAAAAACAACACUGGAUGUUCAAAUUUUGAAUAAAAUCAUAUUUGGGUAUAGUACUGAUCUUCAUUUCAUCCAGUUACGGCCAUUCCAAUCAUGGUUGUGUCGGACCCAACUCCCAAAAUAAAUGAUGGGAAUUGGGGA